GUCAGUUAGCAGCUAGAGCUCAUCACAGUCGAAGCAGCGAGAGGACUGCUAGCUCCGCCAUGGACACUAUACUACUUUCAACUUUAGUGUUAGUUUCUGUUCUCUCGUUUUGGUCGACAAACCCGGUGGCAGCUACUUAUUUGACUCCAAAACACCACCAUAUUUACUCAAGAUCAGGACAGGAUUCUACGUCUUUUCGAAAAAGACCGCCACCACCACCACCUUGUGAUAGUAACAUAUACUGCGAAGGAGACUUACUGAAUGACGUGCAACUCGGCCAGUUGUACGAGGAUUCAAAGACUUUUGUUGAUCUGAAACUAAGAUAUCCUGAGGACAAAGUCAUCGAAAAAUAUGCGGCGUUCAAGAAGCAGCACUCGGGCAAUGUGCCGGUGGACGCACUGCGUCAGUUUGUGGCGGACAACUUCGAGGCAGUGGACGAGUUGGAGCCGUGGAUGCCACCCGAUCUCAGCGAUAGGCCGGCCAUUGUGGACAGGGUGCGCGACCCCGUCUACAAGCAGUGGAUGAUCGACCUCAACGACGUGUGGCGGGUGCUCGCGAGGCGGGUCAAGGAUGAUGUCUUCGACAACCCUCGGCUCUAUUCGUUCAUACCGGUGCCUAAUGGAUUCGUGGUGCCAGGCGGUCGCUUCCGCGAGUUGUACUACUGGGACACGUACUGGAUAGUGAACGGCCUGCUGCUGUGCGACAUGCACAGCACGGCGCGUGGUGUCCUCGAGAACAUGGUCUCACUGGUGAAGCGGUUCGGCUUCGUGCCCAACGGAAGUCGCAAGUACUACCUGAAUCGAUCGCAGCCCCCGCUUCUCAUCCAAAUGGUUGACAGCUAUCUCAAAAUGACUGGUGACUGGACGUUUGUAAGGGAAAACAUUAAGUAUUUGGAGAGUGAGUUCAUGUACUGGAUGAGGUUCAAGAUGGUUUCGGUGCGUAGUAAAAAUGGAAAUACAUAUCAACUGGCUAGAUACUUCUGUUAUUCCAGAAGUCCGAGACCCGAAUCAUACAGGGAGGAUUAUAUCAGUGCGAGCGUAUUCGAGGACGAAGAACAGAGAACCGACUUCUACAUAAAAAUCAAAUCGGCUGCUGAGUCUGGCAUGGACUUUAGUUCGAGAUGGUUUGUCAAGGAUGGGCAAAACAAAGGAAAUCUGUCAGACAUCGCAGCACCUCAAAUAAUUCCAGUUGAUCUGAAUGCAUUCCUACAAGCCAAUGCAAAAAUUUUGAGCAAUUGGUUCUUGGAAAUGGGAAACUAUGCCAAGGCAAAAACGUACGCUGACCACGCAGUAGCACUACAUGAUGCAAUCAAGGAGGUGUUAUGGCAUGAGGAUGUGGGCACUUGGCUGGACUACGACAUUGUUUCGAAAAAGCGGCGAAACUACUUCUACAUUUCGAAUUUGACUCCGAUUUGGACGGGCAGCUAUGACUCGAGUUGGACCCAGCAACAGUUGUCGGACCGUGUGCUCGGUUACAUCAAGAGUACGGGCAUCACACAGUUCGUUGGUGGUGUGCCAAUAUCACUAGAACAAUCGGGUGAACAGUGGGACUUCCCCAACGCAUGGGCGCCCUACCAGGCGAUGUUCGUUCAAGGCCUGGACCGCAUCGGCACAGUCGAGGCCCGCAACAAGGCCUUCGAGUUGGCCGACCUCUGGAUCAAGUCCAACUACAAGGGCUUCCAGGAGACGCAGGCCAUGUUUGAAAAGUACGAUGUUCUAAGGCCGGGCACAAACGGAGGUGGAGGUGAAUACGUGUCUCAAACGGGAUUCGGAUGGACGAACGGAGUCGUGUUUGAGUUCUUCGAUCGAUGGGGCACCCAACUCAAAUCCAGUCAAACCAAGGACGAUGACAUAUUCUUGAAUGAUUUUAAUAUCUGAUGACUAUUCACUUCAAGAGCUGUGUGUUCAAACAGAAUAAUAAUUACAGAACUAACAAGUACGUGAUGAGUGCGAGACAUGUAUAAAGGUGCACAUACGCACUGUUGAAAAAACUCUGCGAUCUAAAAAAUAGAUUUCGACCGUCAGUAUUGUACCUGAGAUUUUUGUAAGAAUUGGUCACAUCAAUCACAAAAUAUCAGGAACGUUGUCAUUCAGUAAUUAUUAUUGUAUCAUCUAAGAAAAUAAGUUGACAAUUUUGGCCAUUUUCCUACUCUAUUCCAUGCUGAAAUGUUUUUCGAUUGAACUUUAUAGAUUUUAGGUGUUCGACGUAAGCACAUUCGUUGUUUUUUUGACUAUGAAGUAAUUGCUACAAGUCGAUCGAUUGCAACAGUUAAUUAUUAUAGUUUAAUUGGCAUCUCUCAUCACUGAAGGCUGCAAUGUAAUGGUAAUUGAAUGUAAUGGUAAUUGUGGUCCCAAGCAGCUCAUUGUUAAUGCAAUUUUAAUAUGAAUAACGAUCAAAACAUUGCAACUAUUGUGACAUUGCAUUUUUUGUAUUCAAAUCAGUCGUCAAGAAUGAUCUAUUUCUGACUUUAUACUUACAUUUAUCACAUUUAAUUUACAAUUUUGUUUCUGCUGAGAGUUGAAUUUAAGGACUUAUUUUCAAAAUAGAUAGGACACAAAUAGUUUUCUUGUGAAGAUCAUUGCUAGUAGAAUGAGAUGAAAAUAGUUAUAAAUUGUGGCUAUAGCUUUAAACAAUUACUUCAAUCGUAUUUAAAUUCAAAUGUGAUUUUAUUCAACAGAAAACAUGGAAUUCUCAAAUGGUCAUGAAAAUUGUUUGAAAGAAUCUGUGGAUCAUGAAUUACGAAUACAGAUGCAGCCUACUAUCAUAGAUUAUAAAUCUAAUGAUUCUUAAACAAAAUUUAUAUAUUUUUAUAAAUUAUUGUCUUAUGUUGUAUUUAAUGUGGCCUACAUUGAUAAUUUGUUUUGUAAUUAUUGUACUAUGUCUAAUAGUUAUAAUUUAUAAUGUUUAUACUCGUUAUAAUUUUUCAUAUCAUAAAAUAAUACUGUAUUUAUUUUCAUAAACAAAAUACAACACAAUUAAAAAUCUGUCAAUCAAGUUAUUAUUACU